GACGAACGCUGGCGGCGUGCCUAAUACAUGCGAGUAGAACGCACAGUUUAUACCGUAGCUUGCUACACCAUAGACUGUGAGUUGCGAACGGGUGAGUAACGCGUAGGUAACCUGCCUGGUAGCGGGGGAUAACUAUUGGAAACGAUAGCUAAUACCGCAUAAUAUUAAUUAUUGCAUGAUAAUUAAUUGAAAGGUGCAAUUGCACCACUACCAGAUGGACUUGCGUUGUAUUAGCUAGUAGGUGAGGUAACGGCUCACCUAGGCGGCGAUACAUAGCCGAACUGAGAGGGUGGUCGGCCACACUGGGAGGGAGACACGGCCCAGACGGCUAGGGGAAGGAGCAGUAGGGAAACUGGGGGAAGGGACGAGAGACAGAGCGAGCAAGGCCGCGGGAGGGAAGAAGGAUGUCGGGUCGGAGAGGUCGGUUGUAAGGGAGGAACGGGUGUGAGAGUGGAAAGUUCACAGUGUGACGGUAACUUACCAGAAAGGGACGGCUAACUACGUG
rnacentral:rRNA from 1 species